CGGCGGACGGGUGAGUAAUGUCUGGGAAACUGCCUGAUGGAGGGGGAUAACUACUGGAAACGGUAGCUAAUACCGCAUAACGUCGCAAGACCAAAGAGGGGGACCUUCGGGCCUCUUGCCAUCGGAUGUGCCCAGAUGGGAUUAGCUAGUAGGUGGGGUAACGGCUCACCUAGGCGACGAUCCCUAGCUGGUCUGAGAGGAUGACCAGCCACACUGGAACUGAGACACGGUCCAGACUCCUACGGGAGGCAGCAUG
rnacentral:rRNA from 1 species